rnacentral:rRNA from 1 species
UACAGAGACUGCAAGCGUUAUUCGGAUUCACUGGGCGUAAAGGGUGCGCAGGCCGCCAUGUGUGUGAGGUGUGAAAUCCCGGAGCUUAACUCCGGAACUGCGCCUCAAACUAUAUGGCUAGAGCAUUGGAGAGGGAAGUGGAAUUCACGGUGUAGCAGUGAAAUGCGUAGAUAUCGUGAGGAACACCAGAGGCGAAGGCGACUUCCUGGACAAUUGCUGACGCUCAGGCACGAAAGCGUGGGGAGCAAAAGGG